rnacentral:rRNA from 1 species
UACGUAGGGGGCAAGCGUUGUCCGGAUUUAUUGGGCGUAAAGAGCGUGUAGGCGGCCGUACAGGUCAGCUGUGAAGACUCGAGGCUCAACCUCGAGACGUCGGUUGAAACCGUACGGCUAGAGUCCGGAAGAGGAGAGUGGAAUUCCCGGUGUAGCGGUGAAAUGCGCAGAUAUCGGGAGGAACACCAAUAGCGAAGGCAGCUCGCUGGGACGGUAUUGACGCUAAGGCGCGAAAGCGUGGGGAGCAAACAGG